rnacentral:rRNA from 1 species
GACGAACGCUGGCGGCGUGCUUAACACAUGCAAGUCGAACGGUAAGGCCCUUCGGGGUACACGAGUGGCGAACGGGUGAGUAACACGUGGGUAAUCUGCCCUGCACUUCGGGAUAAGCCUGGGAAACUGGGUCUAAUACCGGAUAGGACCACUGCCUGCAUGGGGGGUGGGGGAAAGCUUUUGCGGUGUGGGAUGGGCCCGCGGCCUAUGAGCUUGUUGGUGGGGUGAUGGCCUACCAAGGCGACGACGGGUAGCCGGCCUGAGAGGGUGACCGGACACACUGGGACUGAGAGACGGCCCAGACUCAUACGGGAGGCAGCAGUGGGGAAUAUUGCACAAUGGUCGCAAGACUAAUGAAGCGACGCCGCGUGAGGAAUGACGGCAUUCGGGUUGUAAACCUCUUUCGGCACCGACGAAGCGCAAGUGACGGUAGGUGCAGAAGAAGGACCGGCCAACUACGUGCCAGCCGCCGCAGUAA